rnacentral:rRNA from 1 species
UACGUAGGGGGCUAGCGUUGUCCGGAAUCAUUGGGCGUAAAGCGCGUGUAGGCGGCCCGGUAAGUCCGCUGUGAAAGUCGGGGGCUCAACCCUCGAAUGCCGGUGGAUACUGUCGGGCUCGAGUCCGGGAAGAGGAGAGUGGAAUUCCUGGUGUGAGCGGUGAAAUGCGCAGAUAUCGGGAGGAACACCGGCGGCGAAGGCGGCUGCCUGGACCAGUCCUGACGCUGAGGCGCGAAAGCUAGGGGAGC